AUUGAACGCUGGCGGCAGGCCUAACACAUGCAAGUCGAGCGGAUGAAGGGAGCUUGCUCCUGGAUUCAGCGGCGGACGGGUGAGUAAUGCCUAGGAAUCUGCCUGGUAGUGGGGGAUAACGUCCGGAAACGGGCGCUAAUACCGCAUACGUCCUGAGGGAGAAAGUGGGGGAUCUUCGGACCUCACGCUAUCAGAUGAGACUAGGUCGGAUUAGCUAGUUGGUGGGGUAAAGGCCUACCAAGGCGACGAUCCGUAACUGGUCUGAGAGGAUGAUCAGUCACACUGGAACUGAGACACGGUCCAGACUACUACGGGAGGCAGCAGUGGGGAAUAUUGGACAAUGGGCGAAAGCAUGAUCCAGCCAUGCCGCGUGUGUGAAGAAGGUCUUCGGAUUGUAAAGCACGUUAAGUUGGGAGGAAGGGCAGUAAGUUAAUACCUUGCUGGUUUGACGUUACCAACAGAAUAAGCACCGGCUAACUUCGUG
rnacentral:rRNA from 1 species